rnacentral:rRNA from 1 species
UACAGAGGGGGCAAGCGUUGUUCGGAAUUACUGGGCGUAAAGGGCGCGUAGGCGGCCUUCUAAGUCGAACGUGAAAUCCCCGGGCUCAACCCGGGAACUGCGUCCGAUACUGGAAGGCUUGAAUCCGGGAGAGGGAUGUGGAAUUCCAGGUGUAGCGGUGAAAUGCGUAGAUAUCUGGAGGAACACCGGUGGCGAAGGCGACAUCCUGGACCGGUAUUGACGCUGAGGCACGAAAGCGUGGAGAGCAAACAGG